rnacentral:rRNA from 1 species
UACGUAGGGCGCAAGCGUUUGUCCGGAAUUAUUGGGCGUAAAGAGCUCGUAGGUGGUUUGUCGCGUUGUUCGUGAAAUCUCACGGCUUAACUGUGAGCGUGCGGGCGAUACGGGCAGACUUGAGUACUGCAGGGGAGACUGGAAUUCCUGGUGUAGCGGUGGAAUGCGCAGAUAUCAGGAGGAACACCGGUGGCGAAGGCGGGUCUCUGGGCAGUAACUGACGCUGAGGAGCGAAAGCGUGGGGGAGCGAACAGG